rnacentral:misc_RNA from 1 species
CUGCCCUCAAGCCCGGCUUGUGUGUUGGGUCUCCGUCCCCCGUUCCCGGGGGGACGGGCCCGAAAGGCAGCGGCGGCACCGCGUCCGGUCCUCGAGCGUAUGGGGCUUUGUCACCCGCUCUGUAGGCCCGGCCGGCGCUUGCCGAUCAACCUAAAACUUUUUUCCAGG